AACGAACGCUGGCGGCAGGCUUAACACAUGCAAGUCGAACGCCCCGCAAGGGGAGUGGCAGACGGGUGAGUAACGCGUGGGAAUCUACCCAGAUCUACGGAACAACAGUUGGAAACGACUGCUAAUACCGUAUACGCCCUACGGGGGAAAGAUUUAUCGGAUUUGGAUGAGCCCGCGUUGGAUUAGCUAGUUGGUGGUGUAAUGGCCUACCAAGGCGACGAUCCAUAGCUGGUCUGAGAGGAUGAUCAGCCACACUGGGACUGAGACACGGCCCAGACGCCUACGGGAGGCAGCAGUGGGGAAUAUUGGACAAUGGGCGCAAGCCUGAUCCAGCCAUGCCGCGUGGGUGAUGAAGGCCUUAGGGUUGUAAAGCUCUUUCACCGAUGAAGAUAAUGACGGUAGUCGGAGAAGAAGCCCCGGCUAACUUCGUGCCAGCAGCCGCCGUAAUAC
rnacentral:rRNA from 1 species